GGCCCCGUAGCUCAGCUGGAUAGAGCAGCUGCCUUCUAAGCAGCAGGUCGCAGGUUCGAGCCCUGCCGGGGUCG
rnacentral:tRNA from 1 species